UACGGGGGGGCAAGCGUUGUUCGGAAUUACUGGGCGUAAAGGGCUCGUAGGCGGCCAACUAAGUCAGACGUGAAAUCCCUCGGCUUAACCCGGGAACUGCGUCCGAUACUGGUGGGCUUGAAUCCGGGAGAGGGAUGCGGAAUUCCAGGUGUAGCGGUGAAAUGCGUAGAUAUCUGGAGGAACACCGGUGGCGAAGGCGGCAUCCUGGACCGGCAUUGACGCUGAGGUGCGAAAGCGUGGGGAGCA
rnacentral:rRNA from 1 species